UCUUUUCGCGUCGCGCGCUUCUGACGCGCUUCUCUUUGCGCUCGCGCGCGCGCGUGGAGCGCUGAGGAGGAGAAGAGGAACGAGAGAGCGACGCUCGCGAGCGCUCCUCGCAGCCUCGGAGCGCGCGCGUGCGCCCUUCUGCCACACACGCACGCUCUUUUGACGCCGCAGAGAGGCUCCGACGAACGACGCAGCGUCGUCAUCGUGGCGGGGUCGCCGGAGCGGGGCCGAUUAAGACGGGGAAAAUUGAAUAGAGGAAAAGAAGUUGUGUGGCCGGUGGCGCGCACCGGAGGGGGGCAGCGAAGCGACUGUGGGCCAGCGUUCGCCUGUGGGGGGGGGGAGGGGGGAGGGGGAGGUGAGUUAGAAAGGAGGAGCAGGGCAGCCGCCGAGAUGGAGAGAAGAAGAAAAAAAGAUGAUUUUCGGAGCGAGCGUCGGCGGUGGCAGCAACCGAGGCACGGCGAAGACCGCCUUCCUUCUCUCUAUGGUGCGUGGGAGCAGUUUGUCAACAAUGACAUGCAGAAAAACGUGGGAGGCCAAGCUAACCCUCGGGGACCUGGAAGACCAACGACAACUCGUCGCCAGGGCCAAGAGGGCAGUCGAAGCCAGAGGGUUCCUGGACUAAGGAGCCUUCCCACCUUAAGGUGAUACCCGGCCUCGCUCGGGACACUGUUUCGUUUAAUAAACGUUUCUCUCUCUCUC